UUGAAACACCAGUUUCCGUACGAUCACCGAAGUUAAGCAACGUCGAGCCUGGUCAGUAUCUAGAUGGGUGACCACUUGGGAAAACU